rnacentral:rRNA from 1 species
AAACCAACUGGGAUUACCUUAGUAACGGCGAGUGAAGCGGUAAAAGCUCAAAUUUGAAAUCUGGUACUUUCAGUGCCCGAGUUGUAAUUUGUAGAAUUUGUCUUUGAUUAGGUCCUUGUCUAUGUUCCUUGGAACAGGACGUCAUAGAGGGUGAGAAUCCCGUUUGGCGAGGAUACCUUUUCUCUGUAAGACUUUUUCGAAGAGUCGAGUUGUUUGGGAAUGCAGCUCAAAGUGGGUGGUAAAUUCCAUCUAAAGCUAAAUAUUGGCGAGAGACCGAUAGCGAACAAGUACAGUGAUGGAAAGAUGAAAAGAACUUUGAAAAGAGAGUGAAAAAGUACGUGAAAUUGUUGAAAGGGAAGGGCAUUUGAUCAGACAUGGUGUUUUUGCAUGCACUCGCCUCUCGUGGGCUUGAGCCUCUCAAAAAUUUCACUGGGCCAACAUCAAUUUGGCGGCAGGAAAAUCUUUUGGAAUGUAGCUACCUCGGUAGUGCUAUAGCCUUUGGAAAUACUGUCAGCUGGGUA